rnacentral:lncRNA from 1 species
GUACGAAAAGAAAGGUACGAGAAGAUAGAUACUGACACGGAGAUUGCAAAACUUGUUUUUAUGAACAUCUCAAUACUUGUAUUUCUGAGUAUGGAACGAAAGAAAUGGGUCAUGUCAAAAUGGAACUGGCCGGUUUCGUCAAUGUUUACCACCCGGUUUGGUCAUAGAUUUCACAAUGCAUAACCCGGUUUGGUCAAAUAAAAAAAAAAUCAUAAUCGCAUGAUAAUUUAACUUCAGUGUUAAAAAGGAGUUUUGUGACCGGGUCGUUGGAAAACAAGUUCUUUCACAGGACAACGGCUUAUUAUUUAUAUGAUUAGUCUCAGAUUCAAAUAAAUAAUAAGCGAACACUAGAAUUCCUACUCUUAUAGAACACAAAUAAUUUUAAUUUUACUUUGCAUUCAAAAAAUUUUAACAGCAGAAUACAUAUAAAUGAAGGUUAUAACGCAAAUUGAGG